AUACCCCGUACAUUCUUCUGGAUAUAGUUUUAACUUCUGAAAUGUGCGAACCGAAUCGCUUUUUGACAUUUAUAAACAUAUUUAUUUUAAUGUGUAUAAAGUUAAAACAUCUGUGCAUGGAUCUAAUACUGCUGGAUCUAAGACUAAAGACGACAGCUAUCUACUGUGAUGUUACAUUGCAAUGUUAGAGUGGCUUCUAAUGAAAGGCGAGCUGACAAACCACCAACACGUGUUAAAUUCUCCGGCGCUAAUAGACCGUAGACUGGCACGAGGUAGCCUGCAAGACAUUAAGCAAAACGACCUCCGCGUGACGCGUCUCGUUACAAACGAUACCAGUCGUUUGGUAAUUAAUACAUUAAUCGGAACUAUUUGGCACCUGACCCGACAGCACGCGCAACGCGAGACAUGUCACGGAUAGAGAUCUACAUGCGCACUGGCGACGCGCUUCUGAUCUCCCCCAAAUUUUGAUUUAUUUCCGAACUUUGGUUCAUUAACGGAAGCGAGCUUCUCGGUUUACGAUAAACUCGCCUAUAAUAACCAGGUGUUUCGUUUAGCGGUGGAUAUGAAACGCCAUCUACGUUUUCAAGAGAAAGUUCAGAGAUUACAUGUAUGAUCUGUGUUUGUUUCCGGGGGACUAUUUGUUUGUGUGAUAAGCUUACACAAAUCCUUUCGCUUGUUGAUGAUAUUUUAUCUCGGGCCAUAUGGCGAGUCGCGUCGUUAUUUCCUUAUCGCCCAUGUUUUCUGGACAGGAACAUCAAAGAAUGAACUAACAGAUACAUGUUAUACAUCCUGCUGGUAGGGAUGUUAUGUUUUGUCAAACCCUUAUUUAAUUUAUUAAAGACAAUAUCAACAAUUA